GCUGUCUGUUUGCACCUGUGGAGAUUUUUCUGUCCCUCUGCAGCCUGUACUCCUGGUAUUCCGAGUGUUGUGACCUCAAUACUGCUGUGUUUGAGGGACAAGGGAAAUUCUGAUCCCCCUCCUCUGCCAUCUUAACUCCUCCCGCCUCCUUUUACUUUCCUUUUCACAACUUCAGAGUUCUGUGUAGGUUUGCAUUAUAUCAGUUUAAUAUGUUUUAUAGAUAUUUAUGAUGGGCUUUUUUCUUACUUGGACUGUAUUGAUCUGAAUUUUCUGUCUUUUUCUUUUCUUAAAGUUUAUUCAUUUAUUAAUUGGAGAGAGAGACAGAGAGAGCACCAGUGGGGAGGGGCAGAGAGACAGAGGGAGAGAGAGAAAAUCCCAAGCAGACCCUGCACUGUCAGCGCAGAACCAGAUGGGGGGCUUGAACCCAUGAACUGUGAGAUCAUGCCCGGAGCCAAAAUCAAGAGUCAGGUGCUAACUGACUGAGGCAUUCAGGCGGCCCUAACAUGUUCUUCCUACGUCCCCUGGGAAGGAACAGCAAAGUCAGCAACGGAAGCAAAGGAAGAUGGUGUUGGUAUUAUUGAAAAUGUGCCACCAGAGCAAACAGUUAAUGGCAGUUUGACUUCUGCUGGUGGAGUGCAUAAAAAUGACAGAAGUGGUAAGCUAGUGAAUCUCUGUGAGUUGUUUUCCUAUGAUUAAAUGCUAGUACGAGAAAAAUCUGAAAGUAUGUAGAUCCAAAUAUAUUAUCCUUUAUUCGCGAA